GGACUACUGGGGUUUCUAAUCCUGUUUGCUCCCCUUGCUCUCGCGCCUCAGCGUCAGGAAUAAGCUAGAAAACCGCUUUCGCCACCGGUGUUCUUCCACAUAUCUACGCAUUUCACCGCUACACGUGGAAUUCCAUUUUCUCCGCCUUUCCUCUAGACUUGUAGUUUCAAAUGCAGCUCCGAAGUUGAGCUUCGGAAUUUCACAUCUGACUUACAAACCCGCCUACGCGCCCUUUACGCCCAAUAAAUCCGAUUAAUGCUUGCACCCUCCGUAUUACCGCGGCUGCUGGCAC
rnacentral:rRNA from 1 species